GAUGAACGCUAGCGGCAGGCUUAACACAUGCAAGUCGAGGGGCAGCGCGGAGUAGCAAUACUCUGGCGGCGACCGGCGGAAGGGUGCGUAACACGUGAGCGACUUGCCCGUCACAGGGAGAUAACCGCUGGAAACGGCGACUAAUAUCCCAUAUGAUGGCGAUCUGCAUGGAUUGUCAUUGAAAGAUUCAUCGGUGACGGAUAGGCUCGCGGGGCAUUAGCUAGACGGCGGGGCAACGGCCCACCGUGGCGACGAUGCCUAGGGGUUCUGAGAGGAAGACCCCCCACACUGGGACUGAGACACGGCCCAGACUCCUACGGGAGGCAGCAGUGAGGAAUAUUGGUCAAUGGGCGGAAGCCUGAACCAGCCAUGCCGCGUGAAGGACUAAGGCCCUAUGGGUCGUAAACUUCUUUAGACGCAGAGCAAUAAGGGUCUCGUGAGAUCCGAUGAGAGUAUGCGUAGAAUAAGCAUCGGCUAACUCCGUGCCAGCAGCCGCGGUAAUACGGGGGAUGCGAGCGUUAUCCGGAUUUAUUGGGUUUAAAGGGUGCGUAGGCGGAAGUGCAAGUCAGCGGUGAAAUCCCCGCGCUCAACGCGGGAGUUGCCGUUGAUACUGUACAUCUGGAAUGCUCUUGCCGUGGGAGGAAUGAGUAGUGUAGCGGUGAAAUGCAUAGAUAUUACUCAGAACACCGAUUGCGAAGGCAUCUCACGAAGGGGCGAUUGACGCUGAGGCACGAAAGCGUGGGUAUCGAACAGG
rnacentral:rRNA from 1 species